UUGCAGUUUGAAAUACUUGUGUAGUUUAGUUUAGAUAUAUAUUUAAACUAGCACGUUAAAUAAUAGUUUGCCCUGUUUGUGUUUGCUAAGUUUCAACUAAUACUCUCAGUAUUUAUCUUUGUGCUUAUGUGAUAGAUUUGUUAUGCACUGUAGUGAUGUGGGGUGUUUCCUUAUUUUCUGCAUCUUAACUACCUUAUUUUCUGCAUCUUAAAUACCUUAUUUUUUUGCAUCUUAAUUGGUACUGAAAUUUGGUUUGUUUCAGUGAAAGAGGCACUAUCAGCAUUGACAUGUACAUGUGAUUUUAAGCAAGAACCAGGAGAGAGAGUUUUAGUGUGCCGUAUUUAGAACUUGCCGAUAUCUUUUUCCCGUUUCAGCAAGUAUUCCUGAUAGUGGGGAUUCUUCCAGUAAUGCUAGAUAUUGGUUCUAACAACGAGAAGUUACUUAACGAUCCUCUUUGAUUUAUUGGAGUUGAGGAGUCCCAUAAUCUUUAUGUUCUGUUUGUGUUUCUCCAUCACUUUCUCAAAGCUGUUCAAUUGGAGUUCCAUCUUCAGGUAAUAUUGAUGUGUUUGUUUCUAAGAUUAUUUUAUUGAACACUUGUUUUUGUUGUCUCCAUCCACCAACUGUUUGAUAAAAUGCCGCAUUGAACAAUUUUGUGGGUUCUUGGGAAGCAUGUGAUCUAUGUGUUGUGGAAUUUGUAUAAUUAGUUAGAGUGAUUUAGAAAAACUUUUGUAUUUGUAGUUGGAUAGAUAAUUCAUUCCAUAUUUAGAGCAUGAUUAAGAGUUAUUUUGAAAAUGUUAAAAUUACUUCAAAAGAUAUUUGGAUAAUUUAAAUGACUUUCUAUUGUAUGAUGAUCACGUUUGAUAGAUCGAAAAAUUUUCUUCUUCUUCUUCGUUUCUUCCUGCUGCCUAUUCGACCUUCAACCUUGAGUGUAGUUGCUUGGCUGUCGAAUUGCCACCACUCAAAGUCACUCCCUCGCCUUCUUAUCACUCUUAAUUUCCUUGACAACAAAGUCAAACUGCUACAGAACAAUCGAAUUUUUGUUUGAUUAAUUUUCACCCUUGUUUUCUUUGAAAAGUUUAAACUUCCAUACACGAUAUAUUGGGAAACUUUCACAUUCCUCGGGACAUUAAAAGCUCAAGAGCAUUGAUUUUGAGCAAAAUAAAAAUGAAAAUCCCUUUUA